UACGUAGGGGGCAAGCGUUGUCCGGAAUCAUUGGGCGUAAAGCGCGUGUAGGCGGCCCGAUAAGUCCGCUGUGAAAGUCCAGGGCUCAACCCUGGAAUGCCGGUGGAUACUGUCGGGCUCGAGUCCGGAAGAGGCGAGUGGAAUUCCUCGUGUAGCGGUGAAAUGCGCAGAUAUCAGGAGGAACACCGAUGGCGAAGGCAGCUCGCUGGGACGGUACUGACGCUGAGACGCGAAAGCGUGGGGAGCAAACAGG
rnacentral:rRNA from 1 species